AGUUGAGACUUCUCCAAGGGCCAUGGGGUUGACAUCUGUAUUCUCAGGGUCCUCGUAAGGAUUUCCAUUUUAUGUUCUUGUCUUCUCAUCAGUUUGAGUUGUGUCUUUAACAUUGGAGAGAAAAACAACUUGCAAGAUUUUCUUUCAGUAUGAACCAUUCUGAGGUCCUUCAAUUCUUUAGCUGAUUACCAACUCCUACCACUGUUAACCCUCAUCCAGGAAAAAGCUUAUGUCUUUAACAUUCUGAGUGGGCUUCAGCAUCCUUGCAUAUGUUCAAUUCUUAAAAACCUGUUGAAAUAAAAGAUCAGGAGACAUAGGAAGGAUGCCAGAAGAGAGCGUGGCCUCAUGUGUACCAGCUCUCUGCUCUCCUUUGCCUUGGGACGUUCCAUCCCUGGAAGUUUCCCUGCCCACAUCUUUGUAGAGAGUCCAUUCUCCAAGCUUCAGUGUGUCAUCUGUGAGGACUGUGACCAACCUGGUACAUCGCCUCAGGGCAUUCAUUUCAGGCUCCUUCUAAAUGGUCAAGGCACCCUUGGAAAUGCAAUGCUACAUCUCAAUGGGAUUUUCCAGUACAAAGAUUCUUUUCAAAUAACAUAAUUGUGGAUACACACCACUCCUACAGUGGUAAACCUCAGGUUCUCCUCCUGCCUUUUGCUAAGUAUAUGUCUUGAUGACAAGCCUUCUGCUGAUGAGCUGUGUUUCUGGACCGAUCAUGGUAGAAGUCAAUUAACGUGUCCCUCACUUGGGGUUUCUCAAGGCUGCACUGAUGAGGAAACUGAAACAGAAAAUCCAGAGUAAAUUCCACCAGGCCACACAGCAAGGUCUGAUAGAGCCAGGAGAGACUUUAUGAAAUCCAGACUCUCACACUAAUGCUCUAUCAGCUAGACCUCCAUGUGAGUCUCCCCAAUGUAGGUAGGAAGUGCUUUCCC
rnacentral:lncRNA from 1 species